UAAAGUGGUAAGGAUGAAUUAUGCAAGGUGCAUCACAUGAUUUUAAUUCUUAAUUAUUUACUAGUGUAGUAACCCGUGCGAUGCGACGGAUAAAAAAUUAGAAAAAAAUUAAAAAUAUUAAUGAUAUAUUUUUUCAAAAAAUUUUAAAUUAUUUAUAUUUAAUUGAUUAUAAAUUAUUCAAAUAUAUAGGCAAUCUAUAUAUAUGAGUCAACAGUUUAAAAAUAAAUAAGUACUAAACCAUUUAACAUAAUUAUCAUCUCAAGAAGUAUAUUCUCAAUGGUAAGAAAAUCAAAUAAAUAGUUUUAAACUAUUCCUGCUAAUUCCAAAUAUCACCAACAAACAAUCAAACCAUACAAAAAUUUGAAGUGAAGUCAAUUCAGAUCCUAUUACAAUA
rnacentral:lncRNA from 1 species